GAUGAACGCUGGCGGCGUGCCUAAUACAUGCAAGUCGAGCGAACAGAUGAGGAGCUUGCUCCUCUGACGUUAGCGGCGGACGGGUGAGUAACACGUGGAUAACCUACCUAUAAGACUGGGAUAACUUCGGGAAACCGGAGCUAAUACCGGGUAAUAUAUUGAACCGCAUGGUUCAAUAGUGAAUGACGGUUUUCCUGGCACUUAUAGAUGGAUCCGCGCCGCAUUAGCUAGUUGGUAAGGUAACGGCUUACCAAGGCAACGAUGCGUAGCCGACCUGAGAGGGUGAUCGGCCACACUGGAACUGAGACACGGUCCAGACUCCUACGGGAGGCAGCAGUAGGGAAUCUUCCGCAAUGGGCGAAAGCCUGACGGAGCAACGCCGCGUGAGUGAUGAAGGUCUUCGGAUCGUAAAACUCUGUUAUUAGGGAAGAACAAAUGUGUAAGUAACUAUGCACGUCUUGACGGUACCUAAUCAGAAAGCCACGGCUAACUACGUG
rnacentral:rRNA from 1 species